rnacentral:sRNA from 1 species
UGUUUUUUUUAAAUGUAACUCAGAGUUAGUAAAUGAACUAAGACAUUGAAUCAGGAAUUUUGGUCCAGCGGUUUUUCUAGUUACUUGAUAUUUGCCUUGAAGGCAGUCUCUUAGUCUUUCUGAACCCCAGAUGACCUAGUUAUAGAAUUUAUAAUAGCCUUUUUCAUUUAUAGAAUUGUAAUCAUGACUUAAAGGGAAACACGUAAAAUGCUUGAUGGAUUGCACAUCAUACAGAAAAUUGAAUUAUAAUCAUAUUUAGGUUUUUAACCUUAAUCAGAGGCUCUGCUUGUAUAAUUGGUCAAACAAUUCCUAUGCUAAUCUCAGGCAGUGAUGUCAGCUCCUGUGGGUUUCGCCUUGGUUCUCAGGCUAGCCUUGAGCUCACAGCCCCAUAGCCUCAACCUUCCAAGUAGUGACCACACAGGCAGGCAGCAUCGUGAGCAACUCAGUUUGGUUCGUAUUAAAAGCUAACUUCCGUUUUUAUGCUUUUAUUUUAUUUUUGUGCAGAUUUUAUUACCUGCUUUUCUCUUUUCAUGAUUACCUUUUUGUUAAAAGAACUACAGUGCACCCCCCCAACCCCACAUACACCAUUUUGAGGUGGCAACCUCUGGGACACACCGGCAUUUCAGGAAUCAAUCCGGAGUUACAGCCUUUAUGUAAUUUAGACAAUGCCACCAUUUUCCCCCUAUGAUAGCUCUUUCACUUCUUGGAAGGAGCCCCAUGUUCAGUCUGAAGAUACUCCUCAGAGAGGGUCUUAGAGAUGCAUUGCAAAAGAAGUGAGUCAGGCUUUCUGGAAAUUGCUGUUCCCAGCAGUAAAAUUUCAGUUUCUUAUAUUCUUGGUAAGUAAGUAUCCAUGGGACAGUCUGAGUGGCAAAUUCUUUUCUGAUGUUGGUUUUCUUUUUUCUUUUAUUCCAAUGAUGUCAUCAGCCACCUUACCCUUUAGUGGUAUGAUUUCUUGGGUACAAUACAUGUGGCUGCGUUAACAGCUAUGUAAAAUAUGUCACUUGUACUAACUGAUCUAAAUGGUUAGGUGAGGUGUUGCUGAGAAGUUUCAAGGACUAGACACAGCUAUGUGUAAGGCCUGGUUCUUUCCACAAGGGCUUGGUAAGGGAAGGCAUAGCAGCCUGUAAGGAUCCAGUGAGAAGAUCCUUGGCCACAGGCUCAUGUGUAAAAUGAGGCUGAGCUGCAAGUAGCUUUGUACUAGUUACCCAUUUCUGCCAACAAAGCACGUUGGAGCUCAGCGGCUAGGCAGCGUGGUCACAAGGAGGCUUCGAUUUGGAGGGCGGGCUUUGCAGAGAGCUCAGCGCUGCCAGAAUUGUCACUAGCAGGAAGACGCUGAUGUCAGAGGUUUUGAUCAAAGGUUCAGUACUGGAUGACUCGUGAUUGACAUUGCCUGUCAGGUCAGACUGUGGAUCUCGGAAGUGCAGACUUGGCACUCACAGAGCAGACCUCUGAACUGUGGGUGAAGGCACAUAAUGAACACCCAGUGUUCGUGAACCGAGGAUCCUGACUUGAAGACAGCCGGAAGUCUAAAGCAAGAGGCCUCCUUUUUACUUUGGAGUGUAUUUCUGAUCAGUUGCAAAGUUGUUUUUUGACACUUAUUUUGUGGAAUAACGUGACCAAGGAAUUUCUGCAAAGAUCCCGAAGGUCACAGGACAUGAAAUGUGCAAUGUUUUUUGUUUUUUUUUUUUAAUUACAAUACGUUUGAAUGUUAAAAUGUACAAAUUGAUGCCUUAGAAGGCACACACAUUUUGGUGUUAAGCGCGGUUACAUAAAAGGCGCAGCUUCCUAUGGUUACACUUGCUAAAUCUUCAGGCCAGCACACGUCUGAAAGGCCGCAUGUGAAGAAAGACAGUAACCAGGCAAGCACCUCGAGUGGUGGGCGAUGCAGCGAGGUUUUGAUGAGUUAGCGCUCAUGUCUUCCCUAGAGAAAAAGGAGUGUGAUUUAUUAUUAAGCUUGGCCAUUUUGAUCUGAAACAUGUGAAUUAAAAAUGGAUUUAAAAAUUAAUUUGUGAAGGAUUUCUGACAUAACCCAGCUAAAUUCAGAGAGGCCUCCGAGGGGGCUGGGGUGGCAGAUGGGUCGAUGGCGGCCUUAGGACGGUGACCCAAGUGAUGGAUCUGCACUACACGAUAAUCUUUGGAUUACAGACAGGUUAGUCCUCACCUUCCAGUGGAGCUGAACUGUGGGGGAGAGAGUGCUGGCUGUCAAGGAAUGUCUGUCGUGGUUGCAGACCGAGGAGCUGGCUACACGUUUGUGUGCUGUGCACCUGCUAUUUUGGUGAAUUUUGCUCAUACCUGUUGCGUUGGUUACCUGGGAAUGGUAACUUGUCUAGACCAUGGCCUCGGUGAUUUAGUUAAAUGCUGGUCUAGGUGUCGCCAGAUUGUUAGGUACGACUAACGUUUUAAUCAUCACCCUUGAGUGAAACAGGUUAUUCUCCAUCAUACUGUUGGAUCUCGCACAGCAGUUGACAGACUUAGGAGAAAAGGAAUGAGUUUGCUGCAGGGUGAAAUAACCCUCAAGUCUGCCACACGGGAACCGUCCACUUUCCUGAAGUGCUGUCCCCAUGACUUGCAUUCCGAGAUGGUGACCUCAGCUUUUCUCGGGUCUCCAGGCUGCUGCGUUUCCUUGCACACUAUCAGCUUCCACAGGAGCCAAGUCCUUCAAGGAGAGCUCUCUUGGCCGGAUCUACCUUCUUUAAGAGGGAUAUAAAAUGACUAGCACAGGCUUCAGGAUAAAGUCACCUGACAAGCGGUGCUACGGAGAGGAGGCAGUGGUGUGGUGCAUGAGUUCUCGAAUUCAGUCAGUUGGACUUGAACCCAAUCCGCUCAGUUGAGUGGUCUUCCACAAGUCAUCUAAUAGUUCCAGCUGUAGGUUUCUUUAUCUGUAAUGCAAGACUACAACCCUCAUCUUCUUGCAGGUAUAUAGUUACAGUGAUCAGGGAAUGGUGGUUCCUUCAGAAAGACUGCAUUAAGGGAAUGGGGGAGUCCUGAAAGGCUUUCGCGCUGCACACCUUCCUCCCUUCCUGACCCCAUCCCUGCUUUGUUUCCCUCCUUCCCUUCCUGUAUGGGUGGAGUGGCAUUGAGCUUACCACAAUACCUAGGCUGGCCUUGGACUCUAGGUUUCCUUCAAGGUCACCUUCUCUGUUUCCUCCACUCUGCCCUGCUUACAGGACUGUCCAUUCCUUAUGAAUAUAAAUGAAUCCCCCCCUUUUUUUCCCAAGAAGGCUUAGGAAUAAGCCAGUGACAAAAUUCUGGUAGAAACCAGAUCGCAGGGAACGCUGUGUUCAUAUAGCCCUGGAGACAUGCUGGCUUCUUCCUCAGGCACCCCUGUAUGUGGCUGUUUUUCUGCUUGCACAAAGGGAAGAGGGGGCUAUACAUAAUAUAAUAUAAUAAUAUAAGGACCCUUGGGACCAUUCUUGAAACGUGCAUAGUGGCGCCAGGAUCGCAAGAGUUCUGCAUAGGUUACCUGAGCACAGUAGCCAUGGGCAAUCUUAUCGCAAAGAUCGGAUCUAGAUGCCAACUACAAAAACAACAGAACAAAACAAAACAAAAAGCAAAAGCAAACAAGAACCCCAAACGACAACAACAAAAUUAAAACAGGCUAGAUGAGCAGCUAAACA